rfam:Dictyocaulus viviparus strain HannoverDv2000 D_viviparus-1.0_Cont520.1, whole genome shotgun sequence.
GCACUUGUGGCCUAAUGGAUGAGGCGUCUGACUUCGGAUCGGAAGAUUGCAUAUUCGAGUCCUGCCAGGGGCG